rnacentral:rRNA from 1 species
GAGUUUUAUCUUGGCUCAGGACGAACGCUGGGGGCGUGCUUAACACACGCAAGUCGAGAGGAAAGGCCCUUUUCGGGGUACUCGAGCGGCGAACGGGUGAGUAACACGUGAGUAAUCUGCCCCGGACUCUGGGAUAGCCACCGGAAACGGUGAUUAAUACCGGAUAUGACCACUACUCGCAUGGGUUGGUGGUGGAAAGUUUUUUCGGUCCAGGAUGUGCUCGCGGCCUAUCAGCUUGUUGGUGAGGUAAUGGCUCACCAAGGCUUUGACGGGUAACCGGCCUGAGAGGGUGACCGGUCACACUGGGACUGAGACACGGCCCAGACUCCUACGGGAGGCAGCAGUGGGGAAUAUUGCACAAUGGGCGGAAGCCUGAUCCAGCAACGCCGCGUGAGGGAUGACGGUCUUCGGGUUGUAAACCUCUUUCAGUACCGACGAAGCGAAAGUGACGGUACGUCAGAGAAGAC